rnacentral:rRNA from 1 species
UCAGCCGGCCAUAGCGGCGGGGACCCACCCGGUCUCGCCCGAUCCCGGAAGUGAAACCCGUCGCCGCCGCCGUGUUAGUGAGGUGCGCGAGCCCUCGCGAAGCGGCGGUGCCGGCGCCC